rnacentral:lncRNA from 1 species
AGCCGGUGUUCCCCCAGAGCUUGUACUCCGAAACUUCGUUAUUCGGUGAAAGCCCUCUUCUGAACACCAGAAAGCUUUGCUUUUUCCAGGAAGGCUUGAAUUUUGUUGUAUUUUCAGGAAAGGAUUCAUUUGAGGGCUCUGGGUGCUGCGUGUCUAGGUCUUAUUUUGAGGUAAAUGGUUAAUUUGACAGAAUCUGUGGCAUAUUGCUCAAAGUGCAGUAAGCCUGGAAUAAAUCGAGUGGUUUUCAUGGCAUAAAGAAGUUAAAGAUCGCUUUUAGUUCUUCCAAAUAAUGGCAUUUUAUUUUUUUUUAAUAUGCAUUUCUUACAACCUGUGUAAGGUAACUAAGCUGAGCAUGGAGGUUAUGUUUCUGUAAAAUUAUGUUCGUUUUCCAGAUGGAAGAACAAAUCAAAUUAGGUUUUGUAUUUACUAAGUAAUUAAGUGCAGAUGUUUUUUGUAUUCCCACUUCAGAAGCCACCUUGUUCCGUCAAGGUUAUUUAUAUGUGUCCACUAAGCAACAAGGAUAACAUAAAGAUCUGUAAAGCCUGUAUCUGUCUUUGGGAGUUUUAAAUGUUCUCUCAGGUUAAAUUGAGUUGGAAUUGCAGGUUUUCUUCCUUCCUGAAAUCUAUUAAAGAAAAAAUUACAAAUAACUCAAUUUGAGUAUCUUAACACACCUUUACAAAGGGGAAUGCUUUAGAAUGGUUGUAUAGAAAAACAAGUGAGCUGAAACGUUGUGGUAAUAGGAUUUGCAGCAUAAAGUAUGGCUAAUUUCUCUUGUAUGACUACAGGUGGCAGUGUAGAAGCCAGGAACAAAAAUUGGCAGAAAUUAUAUUCUGUGUACGAGAAAAUGAAGAGUGUACUCAUGACUAAGCACAGGAACCUGGAAAACCACAGGAUUCCUGGGAAGCUGUGGAGGAUGGGACAAACUCAGAGCUGGAGCUUGUGGAUUUUUUAGAACUCAUGAGUGGGAAAUUAUCCUGGCUUUAGUCAGGUGAUCGCUGAUGACUAGUCAGCCCACCAAGAAGGGAGUUCAGCACACAGGUAAGAGAGAAGCCGUAUACUCUUCCAUGCAACUGGGGGAUGCGGGGUGGGGAGGUAAACAUCCCGAACAUUGUUUGCAUAGUUUAAAAAAAAAAAAAAUACUCCUGACUUGCUUGGGUGCAUAACACUGUGAUUGUGUCUUUCAAUGCUGCUACUUUUGCUAUUCAGUCUUGUUCUUGCAUUUUUGUUUUUUAUUGUGUUUUGGUUUUUUUUCCUUUUCUUUAAAUCUGUCUUUAAUUAGAAGCUUUAUUGGAAAAAAAAGACCAAUUGUGUGCUGCUAAAUAUAGUCCUGGGUAUUGCAUGAAUGUUGCAUUCUGUUACUUUUUGAAUAAAAUAACUUUCCAUAAUGCA